GAUGAACGCUGGCGGCGUGCCUAAUACAUGCAAGUCGAGCGAACGGACGAGAAGCUUGCUUCUCUGAUGUUAGCGGCGGACGGGUGAGUAACACGUGGAUAACCUACCUAUAAGACUGGGAUAACUUCGGGAAACCGGAGCUAAUACCGGAUAAUAUUUUGAACCGCAUGGUUCAAAAGUGAAAGACGGUCUUGCUGUCACUUAUAGAUGGAUCCGCGCUGCAUUAGCUAGUUGGUAAGGUAACGGCUUACCAAGGCAACGAUGCAUAGCCGACCUGAGAGGGUGAGCGGCCACACUGGCACUGCGACACGGUCCAGGCUCCUACGGGAGGCAGCAGUAGGGAAUCUUCCGCAAUGGGCGAAAGCCUGACGGAGCAACGCCGCGUGAGUGAUGAAGGUCUUCGGAUCGUAAAACUCUGUUAUUAGGGAAGAACAUAUGUGUAAGUAACUGUGCACAUCUUGACGGUACCUAAUCAGAAAGCCACGGCUGACUACGUG
rnacentral:rRNA from 1 species